AGCUCGUGUCGUGAGAUGUUGGGUUAAGUCCCGCAACGAGCGCAACCCUUGUCCUUAGUUGCUACGCAAGAGCACUCUAAGGAGACUGCCGGUGACAAACCGGAGGAAGGUGGGGAUGACGUCAAGUCCUCAUGGCCCUUAUGGGUAGGGCUUCACACGUCAUACAAUGGUCGGAACAGAGGGCUGCCAACCCGUGAGGGGGAGCUAAUCCCAGAAAACCGAUCGUAGUCCGGAUCGUAGUCUGCAACUCGACUACGUGAAGCUGGAAUCGCUAGUAAUCGCGGAUCAGCAUGCCGCGGUGAAUACGUUCCCGGGUCUUGUACACACCGCCCGUCACACCAUGGGAGUGGGUUUUACCAGAAGUGGCUAGUCUAACCGCAAGGAGGACGG
rnacentral:rRNA from 1 species